CUGGCGGCGCGCCUAACACAUGCAAGUCGAACGAGAGAUGAAGAGCUUGCUCUUCAGAUCGAGUGGCGAACGGGUGAGUAACGCGUGAGGAACCUGCCUCAAAGAGGGGGACAACAGUUGGAAACGACUGCUAAUACCGCAUAAGCCCACAGCUCGGCAUCGAGCAGAGGGAAAAGGAGCAAUCCGCUUUGAGAUGAGCCUGCACCUGAUUAGCUUGUUGGUGGUGUAAUGGACUACCAAGGCGACGAUCAGUAGCUGGUUUGAGAGGAUGAUCAGCCACAAUGGGACUGAGACACGGCCCAUACUCCUACGGGAGGCAGCAGUAGGGAAUUUUGCGCAAUGGGCGAAAGCCUGACGCAGCAACGCCGCGUGUGUGAUGACGCCCUUCGGGGUGUAAAACACUGUCAGUAGGGACGAAUUUUGACGGUACCUACAGAGGAAGCACCGGCUAACUCCGUG
rnacentral:rRNA from 1 species